rnacentral:rRNA from 1 species
CCUACGGGUGGCAGCAGUGAGGAAUAUUGGUCAAUGGGCGUAAGCCUGAACCAGCCAAGUCGCGUGAGGGAUGAAUGUUCUAUGGAUCGUAAACCUCUUUUAUAAGGGAAUAAAGUGCGGGACGUGUCCCGUUUUGUAUGUACCUUAUGAAUAAGGAUCGGCUAACUCCGUGCCAGCAGCCGCGGUAAUACGGAGGAUCCGAGCGUUAUCCGGAUUUAUUGGGUUUAAAGGGUGCGUAGGCGGCCUGUUAAGUCAGUGGUGAAAGUCUGUGGCUCAACCAUAAAAUUGCAGUUGAUACUGGGAGGCUUGAGUAUGUUUGAGGCAGGCGGAAUGCGUGGUGUAGCGGUGAAAUGCUUAGAUAUCACGCAGAACCCCGAUUGCGAAGGCAGCCUGCUAAGCCAUGACUGACACUGAUGCUCGAAAGCGUGGGUAUCAAACAGGAUUAGAUACCCUAGUAGUC